GACGAACGCUGGCGGCGUGCUUAACACAUGCAAGUCGAACGGAAAGGCCCUGCUUUUGUGGGGUGCUCGAGUGGCGAACGGGUGAGUAACACGUGAGUAACCUGCCCUUGACUUUGGGAUAACUUCAGGAAACUGGGGCUAAUACCGGAUAGGAGCUCCUGCUGCAUGGUGGGGGUUGGAAAGUUUCGGCGGCUGGGGAUGGACUCGCGGCUUAUCAGCUUGUUGGUGGGGUAGUGGCUUACCAAGGCUUUGACGGGUAGCCGGCCUGAGAGGGUGACCGGCCACAUUGGGACUGGGAUACGGCCCAGAAUCCUACGGGAGGCAGCAGUGGGGAAUAUUGCACAAUGGGCGGAAGCCUGAUGCAGCAACGCCGCGUGCGGGAUGACGGCCUUCGGGUUGUAAACCGCUUUCGCCUGUGACGAAGCGUGAGUGACGGUAAUGGGUAAAGAAGCACCGGCUAACUACGAG
rnacentral:rRNA from 1 species